GUUUAUUCAGACCAGACAAGUUUUAUCAGUACUGGUGGUAGGGCUUUGUGCAAGCUCGUCUGGUCAGGGACGGCCGUGGCGGCGCGAGACCGCGGCGACCGUCCAGGGUCGGCGGAUAUCGAGCUGAUCAGAGCUCUAGCCCAGCAAGCCCUAAUAGCCCGAUGAGAGGAGGACCUGGCGACAGCGACACAAGUGGGGACGUGUCCCCACUUGAGUCGCUGGGUCAAAAGAAAACGAGGCACGCUCUCGUUCUGCUUGACGCAGAUACUUACCGGACACGGCAUCUUCGAUAAAUACCUGCACGAGUUAGCGCGGCGGCAGGUGCUACCUUCAUGCCAUGUGUGUGGUGCGCCAGUCUACACGGCGCAAUACAUCCUGACGGAGUGUGUCAGGAUGUGCCCCUGAGGCAUUCCCAAGCGGCUGUUGUCGGCGGAGACCUCUCCUUGCCGAGCAUCAAUACCGCGAUGCUUGGAAGCGAGGAUUGCUGGUCGGAAUGGUCUCCUACUGUGAAAGUGUGGUGGCGUAAAAGGAAGCCAUAGAUCAGAAAGGAGAAUUUUAAAAUUACCGUGUUUUCUUUAUACUAAUAAAUGAAGCGACUUUUUGUGAUGCCUAACUGAAAAAACUAAACCAAUAUAGGUUAAACUUAUAACAGAAGAUCCAGCGCGUUUUGGGGAAGGGUUUAGUAUAAUAUUAUUAUUAUAUAAGUAGAUACGCUUUACAGUUUUGACCCGCUUUAAAUGUUGACUAUUGACACUUAUUGGCCCAACCGACAAUAGCUUAAACUUUUAUUGAAUUUGAACCUUCGAACGGCGGUUCGAAAGGCGGUUAAUAACAUUAAGAGAUACCUAGGUGCUGUUUCAUAUUUUCCGAAACACGGAAAUAGUAAGACUCAUCCGAUAAUAUGGAAAUUUUACAUUACUUAUAUUUUUACAUAACUUAUAAUUUCAGGACGGAGUAUUCUAGCAUAUAUAUGUUUUUGUAUGUAUACUUAGUUACUCGUCCCAGGUUUGCCCGCGAGAAUAAAGGUAUACAUUUAUAUCAUACGUAAUACAUACAACUCUAUUGUUUGAUGCUGCGCACGGCCAUAAAAUUUUUUCAUGGUAAAUGAAACAUAUAAAUUUGUAUAUUUAGUAUUGUAUACACAAAUUAAAAAAUAACAAAGUUUUGAAGAAAGAAGCUUAAAGAUGAAACACAAAAGUUGAACACGUAGUUUAGCAUUAUCGCCACUCUGCCAAGAAAAAUACAUGUCAGUAGGGUAUUAUUAUCAUGUCCGUUUGACAUUAAUAAAGUUUCACAGAGUAGAGAAUCUUGGUUAACAUUUACUGGUGAAAAUUCAUAAAUUUCUCCCGAGUAUACGAAUUUUUUUUAAAAGUUCUUUUACGUAUGUAUAUAUUUCAAAAUAUUUAUAAAGCAAAAGUCACACUAAGUGUCUCCUCCUUUCUUCUUGAGGAGGUCGGAGCUCAUCUACCACGUUGCGCAUUGCUGGUUGGUUAAUAUACAUACAUCUGGCAGAAUUGUAUUCGUAACUUGCAGGUUCUCUUGCGGUGUUUUUCUUCGACGCUGAACUCGAGACGAAUUAUAAACUAUGGAUUAUAAAGUUUAUAAAAAUUCAGUAGAGCUUUUUCAAGUUUACGUGUAUUCUUCGCAUGUUUCCUUAAUGUCCUUUCCUCAAUUAGGCUUGGUAAAGGUUAAAAAAAGGACAUCAUGGAUGCGAACUUGUCUUUUUCUCUUUACCUUUUUUUUAAACCUAUAUCUCUUAAAAAUCGGUCUCCUUCUUGUGAAGGCUUUAGGUCUAAAGCACAUUUUGCUCUUGAAAUUAUUUUUAUAAGUAUGUGGAACUUCGGCCAGAGUGCCAAACUCCUCCAUACUGGGACGUUACGCUUAACCGCGGGAUCGCUUGCGCAUACUAUAGUGACGCUCCGAUGAUUGGCCUACCUCAGCAGGAUUCUUUAGUCGACGACCAGAAGCAAUGAUAUCCAAAUAGGAAUUAUAUUUUAUAAUCAAAAUAUUUUAUAAAUGCGAUAAUAUCUUAGCAUGCUUUACGAGAAAUAGUUUCAGUUAUAGUAGCAAUAAAAUAUUGAAACGUAUAUACACAAUAUGUAAAACGAUUAAUUCAACACUAUAAUCAAGUUUAACUCACCUUUUUCGGGUCACUGAAAAUAAUGGUGUUUUGUAUUCCUGUCGCCAUAGAUACAACCUCGCUGCCCUGUAGUUAUCGCAUCUCGCUUGCAUGUACCUAAUGAAAAGUUCAAGGCCCUUAAUGUAACGGAUAAAAAAAUAGCAACGGCCCAGAUAACAUUUUUAUGUAGAACAUAUCAUGAAAUAAAUCUAAAUAGACUUUAUUGCAGACCGUUA